rnacentral:rRNA from 1 species
UACGUAGGGUGCGAGCGUUAAUCGGAAUUACUGGGCGUAAAGCGUGCGCAGGCGGUUAUGCAAGACAGAUGUGAAAUCCCCGGGCUCAACCUGGGAACUGCAUUUGUGACUGCAUGGCUGGAGUGCGGCAGAGGGGGAUGGAAUUCCGCGUGUAGCAGUGAAAUGCGUAGAUAUGCGGAGGAACACCGAUGGCGAAGGCAAUCCCCUGGGCCUGCACUGACGCUCAUGCACGAAAGCGUGGGGAGCAAACAGGAU